rnacentral:lncRNA from 1 species
CAUGGAAAGAGCAUUCCCAGAAGCGGGGCCAGGGCAGUGCGCACAGUGAGGAGAGCAGGUGUGUGUGAGUUGAGGAAACUGGGCCCUGAGACAUUAACUUGCCCAAAAGAUCACAGUGGGCAACAUUCUAGAGCACAGUGGAAGCCGACAGCAAUGUCAGUGAAGAUGGAAAACAGAACGUGGAGAGAGAUGUAGCUUACUAGAGCCCUGUGGCUUCAAUCCCCACCAGGAAUGUCGUUUAAGAGGAAGGUGAUCUAGCACAAAUUCACAUUUGCUUGAGGAAGAAUACAAAUAGAAGCAGCCUCGGGGAGCGGGCGGGGCUGGGGAAUCCCUGGCCUCCCUCCUUUCCUUCUGGCUGAUCUUCUGCAGAAGACCUCACAAAAGGGAGCUGAGGGGCCAGGAAGCCUGUGGAUGCCCUGAAGAAGAAUGAGUAGAUCUGAAAGGGCAGUAGAACAGAACCAGAAUCCAGUGCAAAGGCCCUGGGGCAGGAGUUCGCAGGAGAAGCGGGGAGAAGGAACCAGCCUAUGAUCCAGGAAUGCAGUGAACAAGAUUUGGGAAGUUGACAGAGAAUAUGAGGCCUCCUCUCCAAACAGAAACUCCAGGACGCUUGGUUGAGUCACUGACACAUGCACAGUGCUGAGCAUAGUACCAGACACCAGAGUCUGUGUUCCAGAAAUGGAAGAAUAGGACAUAUCACACACCAACCGUGUGCAAAGCACUCUACCUAAAGAUCAGCGCUAACAGAGGAAUAAGCAGAGGCCUCCAGGAGCAAAGAGUGAAAAGUCUCCCAAGGAUUCAAGUACGGGGGAAGUGGGUGGAGCUUUCACCGUAGAAUCUUUCCUGGAGAAAAAGCAAAGAGUGGGACAACAAUGAAGGCAUUAAAAAUAACUGUCAAGUUGAAGAAAAAGUAUUUUGCCAAAGACUAAGGAUUCGGAGAUGACUACGGAAAGGAAUAAGGAUUUUAUGAAAAUGCAUGUUUGUUGAAUAACACAAAGGAGAAUAUUAUCUAAUGUGGCUUGGGGUCAAUAUCAAGCAGUAAUAUUGUUUUAGUAUUAAUUAGAGCCGUGUCAUUGCAAGAGCUGGUAAGAA